CUUUAAUAUGCUUUAUGUUACUUGUGCAUUAAGCAUGGCAAAGGGUCCUAACAUCAACAUUUAAUUGUUGGGAAAAUUCGGAAUUGUCACACAAGUUCUCCUUACAUAGUCUUCUGCAGUAGAAACUAGAAAGCCUUGCAUAUCCAACUUAUUGUGUUGCUUUUGCAGUCAUAAACUUCUCAUUAGCAGCUCCUCAAGAUUCACCUUGCUUGUUCUUUCUAGUCGGUAAUUUCCCCACCAUUUAAUUGCAAAUCUUUGGUCAGAUGGUCUAGAUUUUUAUGGUUUCCGAAGCCUUGGCGCCAAUAAUUUGCAAAUAUUCCAGGUCUGGCAAUUCAAAUUUAAUUUGUUGCAUUAUAAAAGUCACCAGAUUUUCUGCUUAGAUUUUCUUCUAAGCAGUUUCUUAUGGGUUAUCAGAACUGGAGUCUAAUUCACUGUGGUGGUCUGAUGUAUCCUUAAAGAAGCCCAGCUUUUACUUAUAGAAGACAACAAGCCUAACUUAGUCCCAAC
rnacentral:misc_RNA from 1 species